rnacentral:rRNA from 1 species
UACGUAGGCAGCAAGCGUUGUUCGGAGUUACUGGGCGUAAAGGGUGUGUAGGCGGUUCUUUAAGUUUGGUGUGAAAUCUCCCGGCUCAACCGGGAGGGUGCGCCGAAUACUGAGGGACUAGAGUGCGGGAGAGGAAAGUGGAAUUCCUGGUGUAGCGGUGAAAUGCGUAGAUAUCAGGAGGAACACCGGUGGUGUAGACGGCUUUCUGGACCGUAACUGACGCUGAGACACGAAAGCGUGGGUAGCAAGCAGG